GCGAAUCAAUUAAGAGGGACAAGGGGAAGGCCAUAUCAGAACAUGAUAAAAAGAAAAGGAAGGAGAAGAAAGGGAGGAAAAAGCACAGGAAAGAGGAGAAGGGAGCCUGUUACAGUGAGGUUACAUAUAAGCAACUGGAUAAAAGACUGCCUCCAAAGGGAAAAGAGGAGGAAGGUGAAAGGAGUGAUUUGACAGAAGAGCAUGACCAGCCUGUGUGUUCUCAGAACCUUACUUCAUCAGACAGCACUCGGAGCAGCAACAAGAGAAAAAGAGAUAAUUCUGCAUGGAAUUUGGUACUACGAAUUCAGCUACCCAUGCAAAAACAGAGGGAUCCCUAUGCAUCUGCCAUUGGAGAGCAGUUGUGUUCUACUUCUGGGA
rnacentral:misc_RNA from 1 species